AAACCUAGAAACUUCCUACCUAAAAUCACCAAAAUUAUUGAUUUUAUUGGCCUAAAUCCUAGAUGGAAAUUGUUCUACUCAUUAAGCUUAUCGUCGUGGAAUAGUUUGCCCAGUAGAUUUCAAAGUGCGUCACAGUUGAUGUUGUGGCAGUUUUUAUGCUUUUUGAGAUUCAAGGUCUUGAAAAACAAGUACACGGCUCUUCUCACUACUAUAGUCAAGUUCCAACAAAUUGAUUAGUUCCAGUACUUCUGAAGUUGCCAAAUCCAGAGGUUUAUUAGUCUUUUAUUUUGUUUACCUGAUGGAUAGGUCGGGGACCUUCCUUAGCCAUGUAUAUUACUCUUUGGGGCUUCUAGGUUAUGGGUUGUAGAGAUUUAUUUUUGUCAGUUAUUCUGGCCAUGUUUUUUUGACUUUUUAGCACAGCGGCAAGUGGGACUUGAUCAUAUAUGAAUAUCUUUGUUCAAUUUAUAUAUUUCUAGAUAUUAUGGUAGUCUCAAUGGCUCGUAUAUAAUUACUUUAUUAUAGAAAAUAUGCUUGCCUCGACAACACAUAUAGGAUUUAGUCUAUGUUUUGUAUGAAUUACUGGGAUUAGCUUAGUUUACUGCAAGUUAUGUUUGCAUGGGCCUUACUGGCUGAGGGCUUAUAUUUAAGAUGCGAUAUACUUGUUUGUUUUCUUGAUUUAUGAUUGGUAUUACAUAGAGAAAUGCCUGGAACAAAAUAGACCGCAGCAAGCCAUAGGCUACAGUUGUAGGUGAAGGUACUAGCAGGGUGCCACCAACAUAGAUGACCCAUCCUAAGGUCAAGAGAGAGAUAUUUUCUUAUUCUCCUCCUGAUCAUUACCAUCAGAGGACCCUCCUAGAGCCAUAUGACCCCCAACUCGACCUCUAGUAAUGCCUCUAACUCCUUUUAUUCCAUCUAAUCAAGAUUUUAGGAGAGAAAUAUAUAUGCUGAAAUAAUUAUUAGCUACAGAACAACAUCCAGUGGAAAGAGAUAUUGUCGGACCUUUAGAGGGGAAUGAAUAUUCGAGGGUUCAUGAGUUCCUUGCCUUAAGCCCUCUAUAAUUUACAAGCAUAGAUUAUAGAGACGAUCCACAACACUAUGUAGAUAGCUUCACAGGAUCAUCAGGGUCCUGCGUGCUUCAAUGACCAAAUCAGGUGAGUAAGAAAUAUUUUGGUUGCGUGAUAUGGUAAUUUUAUAGUAUGAGAGUUGGUAGAGAUCUAUAGAGGGAGAUGUACCUCGUCCCACCAGGUAUAGUUUCAUAAAGACCUUCCUAGAUUACUACUUGCCACAGGAGACAUGAGAUGCUCAAGUAGAUAAGUUUUUGAAUCUUCAACAAGGCAAUAUAAGUGUCCAAGAGUAUGCAUUGAGAUUUCAUUCCUUUAACAGAUAUGCACCAUCCAUUGAGGAUAUGAUACAGGCCGGGGUUUAUCGAUUCGUGGAAACACUGGCUUCUGAUCACAUUUAGGCUUACACUACAACACCACUGAAUGAUGCGCGGGAUAUUAUCUGAAUCUAGGUCUUUGCAGAAAAUAUGGAGGAGUUUUGACAUCAGUAAUAUAUGGUUGAAAGGGGUUGAGAGGGAGCAACAAAGAAGGCUAGGCUUCCAUGUUUGUAGGGAGAGUUUUAGGGUGGUCCUGUUGUCAAUAUUCUCGUAGGCCGCCUAGGCCUCUACCACAGGAGUUUUAGGGUAGCAUGUUUGAUUUCCAGAGAAAGUCAUGUCUAGUUGAGGGUUUACGAGCAUCAGACUCUCAACAAUAGAGGAGUUUAGACUAGACUAGACCAGUCCCGCUAUAAGAACCCAAAAGCCGGAAAGUUGGAAUCAAGAGAAAAUCCUCAAAUGUUGAUUGACCUCAGAGUUUAGAAGUCCCUUUAUGACUCUUAGUAAUCUACAACUUGUAGGUACGAGUUGUAGAUGGAUCCCUUGAACCUAUUUUAAAACAAACCUUAGGACUGCCCCUACGACUCAAAAAGAUGAGUUGUAGGCUUGAUGACUACUCAUAACCUAGAGUCCUAGAGAGGGUUUAGAGCCUAGGAAACCUGCAGGAUGUUUGAAGUUUACAACUCGUAAGGAAGAUUACAAGUUGUAACAACGACUCGUAACCAAAUUUCAGAGACCCUCAAUUUGGCAGAUUUUAAAACCUAUAGGAUGAGUCAAGUUGACGGCUUGUAAUCAUGAUGACUAAUCGUAACUAUGACUCAUAGAUGCAACUUCAUAGACUCCUAAAAAUCUCAGAAACUCUUGACCUGCAUGACGACUCAAGUCUAUGAGUCAUAUACUUGAGGCCAAUUUGUAGAAGUUGACUCGUAGGUCUAAAUCCGAGUUUAAUGAACGACAAUCUUGUCUUUUCCCAAAGUUUGGUUCAAUGAACCUAAAAACUAUUAUGGCUAAGUUCAAGCCUAUAGCUACCCAUCCCUUCCAAAUUCCCUCUAUUCCAAAUCAUUCUUCAAAUUUAUCUAACGCAAGAUCACAAAUCCUCUAAAGCUCUCCUUCAAAUUCCAAGCUAGCACUACAAGAAAUAAGACUUAUUGUGGCGCCAUAUGUCGCUACAAAAUGCUCCACAGUCGCCGCUAAAGGUAUAUAGCAGUGACAAUUGCUCCGUUCGUAGUAGUUCCAUAACUAAAGGUUAUUUGUGACGAUUAAAUAAUAUCGCCACAAUAAAAAGUCAUCUGUGGCGACAUAAUUCGUCACAAUAUAUAAACAAAUAUGCCACAAAAAAUAAUAAUUUACAACACAAAUAUUUGGAAAGUCGCUCCUAAAAUAUGACCUUUAGUGGCGACAUAGUUGCCACAAAAACUUAUAAGCUAACUGUGGCAACUUUUAUGUCGCUCCUAAAAUACGACCUUUAGUGGCGACAUAGUUGCGACAAAAACUGAUUAGCUAACUGUGGCAACUUUUAUGUCGCUCCUAAAAUAUGACCUUUAGUGGCGACAUAGUUGCCACAAAAACUUAUUAGCUAACUGUGGCAACUUUUAUGUCGCUAAUAAAUAUUGAUAUUAAUUAGUAGCGUCUCCUAUCGCUGCAAUAAAGUAUAAACUAUUAGCAUCAAAUUUUACGUCGCUGCUACACUUAAUUAAUUAAUAGCGACUUCUUCCGCCGCAAAAUCCACUAAAUAUCAGUGGCAACUUUUAUGUCAUUGCAAAAGGUAAUAUUCAUCUCGUUACUAAAAAAUAAUAUUUAGUGUUUUAAAAUCAAAUUCUCUAAAAUUAGUAUAUAGAUAUUAAAAAUAUCUAAUAGUAUUUCACAAAAAUAGAACAAAAGCAUUUCCGAGUAUGUACAUAUUAGCUAGUACUUCGGUUAUCAUUGUAUCUAUAUACAUAUGAUAACAAGAAAAAAAAUCGUGUAUGCAUAUACAUAUAUAUGAUCGAAAAGCAAAAACUUCCAUUACACGCCUUCAAACUACCUCUUGAUUGGGCCCCAUUGCAUAAGAACCUUGUCCCUGAAAAUAGAAAAACACACAAUCAAUUUCUUAUUAGCAUAAUCCAAUCAAAUGACUCGAAUAAAAUUGGUACUUCAAGGUUGUUUUCAGGGGACGAGACAAUUCCUAUACAAAGUUUGACGAUGAUGUGGUCGAGCAAACUCAAUUAUGGACACAGAUCAGUACAAUUGCCAUAGAUAUUAAUGAAGAGGAAUCCAGCAAAACCAACACUUCAGUUGGAUUCAGCAUCUCUAAAGCCAUGGUAAACUUUCCAGAAAACAUUUCAGUUGUUGUAUUUAUCUAAUAACUAGUCCAACUUUCAAUGUAACUAUUUUCUACACUAAGGUAACAAUUUAUUAUAUUCCAAAGGAGCUAGAGUACCUAUUGCAUUCUAGUCAUAAUAGCAGCCAUUUGUUCUUGGAACAUCUUGUCUACCUCGCCUUUCAUGUGUUCACGCUCCUCUUCCAAUUUUUUCUGCAAAUCUUCUUUCAUAUUCUUUUUUAAAUCAGCAGUCAUUUGUUCACGUUCUUCCAAUGCAAACAUGUAUUCCGAGAAGCAAACUUUCCUGCAGAUACAUUGUCCAAAUGCAGUCAUAUGCUUGAACAUCCACAACAUUUCUAUAAUUUUCAGCAACUACCACAAGAAACUAAGGGCUACAUCAAGUUGGACAAGCUAGGGAUGGCAAGUUUUAGAAGAAGAAAACUAAAGAGGAUCAAACAACCUCCUUGAACUCUUCUUACAAUUUUAGUGUUCUAACUUCUUCUUCUUCAAUUUGGAUGUCUCUAUUUCAUAGCUAUAUCUACUUUGAAGAUUUAAUAGUUAGGACCUUUGUAAAGGGGAGAGUCUCCCUCAUUUAUAGCUUUUCUACACUAAAAAACUUAUCAUUUGAGAUAAGGACUAGAGUAGGUAUUUCUUCUUUGUUUCUGCUGUGCAGGUACAUUGCAGACCUGCAACACUUGAUCCAGCACUUGGAAUUCCUCUCUUGUUUGCUUCCAUUGUGCAGGUACAUUAAAGUGCUGCAACACUUGAUGACUUUGUUGUGGAAUUGCAGCAUACAUCUAGAACCUGCAGGUUGAUUUAGCAUGGUGCAAUGGAGUGGAUUACUACAUCAACAUCUAAGUUUACUGCAGAGCUGCAACAUCCAACAACAAAUACCUCAACUACACAACCAUGUACACAUAUACAAUACAAUACACCUUACAACAGUCAUCCUCAUCUUCACCUUUAGAACCUGUAGAAAUAUGGGGCAGAAACUAAUCAGCUCACAGGUACAUACAAACCUGCAACAUAUCAACCAUCAAUUGGAAGACCUUUUAAAUGUGCAUCAUAGUACAGUAAUGGCAUAAUACAAUACUUGAAAACCUGGACUUUGCCUGGGAGAUGCAAGUAUGAUGCAGAACUGCAACAAUGGAGCCAGCAAACUGAGGUGCAGGUUGCUGCAAUGCAACCUCUUGUUGGUAUAUUGUACCUAGUACAUGUGCUUUCCUUGGCUUCUUUUGGUGCAGGUACAGGAUGUGGUAGGUAGUUAAGCAGCUACAACUCUUAAACCAUCCAACAUACAACAUCCAACAACAACAUCAUUCAUCAACAAGUCCAGAAAUCUAUAGCACACAAGGAACAAAUCCAAAGUACAAGUUACAGCAGUCUGCACCUUUGUUUGCUAGCUUGUGCAGGUUGCUUGGUUGUGCAGUAUCUGAGAAGAUACCAGUGGGAUUUGGAGAGAAAGGGCAUAAUGCUGAAGGUUGCCACAACAAGAUACACUAAGAAGCUCCAACACAUGAACUACCAACAACUCAAGUGAUGAAAUAAGAUGAAGCAGCUAAUCAGGAAGCUGCAAACAUCUUCAAAGCAAUAUUGCAGGUCUUUCCUCUCUUGUUAGUUUAUGUUGGUCCUUUUUGGUCUUGUUUGCUGGUUUGUGCAGGUACACCACAGUAUAAAACCUGGAAUGAUUCAACACCAGUAAGAACAAGAGGAGCAGCAACUUUUUGGUUUGGUUGGUUUGUUUUUUAUGAAGUUGUAGGUUGCUAGAAUAGAGGCAUACAUCAACAACAAAGCCAUCAGAGAUACUGCACCUAUCAUCUGCUCAAACUCUCAACACUCAAGACAAGCUGCAGUACUUAUGGUUUUUUCCAAUGUGCAUCACAGCACAUUGGCAAACUUUGCAGAUGGGGAAAUGUAGCACAUCCAAAGCUGCAGAAUUGCUGUACCUCCCACAUUUGGGGAACCCAAGAAGUUGCGGCUUGAAGGAUAAUCGAAGACGUUAGUCGAGCGAUCUUGAAAAUCUAGCCGUUUUUUAAAUUCCUUCAAUGACGGACACACUAUUCAUAUCCAAAUUAGCAACAUCAUGACAACAUAUACUUGCCUUGCAUGACGCACUAGCAUCACAUGGACAAACUCGGCAUGAAAAGAUUAAGAAGGACAACGAUGACACAAUUGCUCUCGAUCCAUGAAAAUGGGAAGUUUCGUAUACUUGCUCUACUUCGAUUUAGCUAUGUUUUUAAUGUAGCUUAGUUGAAUAGGACUAGUGUAGGUUUCUUUCUCGUAUUUACAUGGAAGGAGAGUCUCCCUCAUGUACGUUUUUCUUAGUCGCAUUGUAUCGAGAGGAGUCCUCUCAUAGGUUUAUCAUUUUUCCACCUAGUGUUUGGGGAUGAGUUGGCCGACCUUAGUAGGUUAGCCGACUUAUGAACCACCUUAAGUUCGGAGGUAAGGUUUAUGUCCCCCUCUGUGUAUUUUUAUUAUUAUUUUUAUUUAUGAUAAGGCUUGGGGGUGCUGCUCAACCCCUGACUGUGCACGAGAGGUGGGAGCCUCGUGUAGGGUCUG